rnacentral:tRNA from 1 species
GUCCCCGUAGUUCAACUGGACAGAAUAUCUCCCUCCGAAGGAGAAGACUGGCUGUUCAAAUCAGCCCGGGGACACAA